CUCCACCACCCCGAUGAUGGGCAGCUUCACCUUGUGGCAGAAGUUGAUUUCUUUCCGGACAUCCUGGAGUGACACCUCCUACGAAGGCUGGAGUGCAGCGGCAUGAUCUCGGCUCACUGCAACCUCCGCCUCCUGGGUUCUCCUGCCUCAGCCUCUCGAGUAGCUGGGAUUACAGUCUCAUUCUGUUGCCCAAGCUGGAGUAUACUGGUACAAUCUUGACUCACUGCAACCUCUGCCUUCUGGGCUCAAGCGAUU